ensembl:misc_RNA Metazoa_SRP Metazoan signal recognition particle RNA
GCCAGGCUUGGUGGUGUGCGCCUGUAGUCCCAGCUACUCAGGAGGCUGAGGCAGGAGAAUCGCUUGAGCCCAGGAGUUCGAGGCUGCCGUGAGCUAUGAUUGUGCCGCUGCACUCCAGCCUGGGUGACACAGUGAGACCCUGUCUCAA